UAGAUACCCUGGUAGUCCACGCCGUAAACGAUGAUAACUAGCUGUCGGGGCUCUUGGAGCUUCGGUGGCGCAGCUAACGCAUUAAGUUAUCCGCCUGGGGAGUACGGCCGCAAGGUUAAAACUCAAAGGAAUUGACGGGGGCCUGCACAACCGGUGGAGCAUGUGGUUUAAUUCGAAGCAACGCGCAGAACCUUACCAGCGUUUGACAUCGCAGGACGAUUUCCAGAGAUGGAUUUCUUCUAGCAAUAGACUUGCAGACAGGUGCUGCAUGGCUGUCGUCAGCUCGUGUCGUGAGAUGUUGGGUUAAGUCCCGCAACGAGCGCAACCCUCGCCUUUAGUUACCAUCAUUUAGUUGGGGACUCUAAAGGAACCGCCGGUGAUAAGCCGGAGGAAGGUGGGGAUGACGUCAAGUCCUCAUGGCCCUUACGCGCUGGGCUACACACGUGCUACAAUGGCGGUGACAAUGGGUCGCAAGCCCGCAAGGGUGCGCUAAUCUCAAAAAGCCGUCUCAGUUCGGAUUGUUCUCUGCAACUCGAGAGCAUGAAGGCGGAAUCGCUAGUAAUCGCGGAUCAGCAUGCCGCGGUGAAUACGUUCCCAGGCCUUGUACACACCGCCCGUCACACCAUGGGAAUUGGAUUGACCCGAAGGCAGUGGGCUAACCCGCAAGGAGGCAGCUGACCACG
rnacentral:rRNA from 1 species